GACGAACGCUGGCGGCGUGCUUAACACAUGCAAGUCGAACGGUAAGGCUCCAGCUUGCUGGGGUACACGAGUGGCGAACGGGUGAGUAACACGUGGGUGACCUGCCCUGCACUUCGGGAUAAGCCUGGGAAACUGGGUCUAAUACCGGAUAGGACCAUGGUGUGGAUACUGUGGUGGAAAGUUUUUUCGGUGUGGGAUGGGCCCGCGGCCUAUCAGCUUGUUGGUGGGGUAAUGGCCUACCAAGGCGGCGACGGGUAGCCGGCCUGAGAGGGUGGACGGCCACAUUGGGACUGAGACACGGCCCAGACUCCUACGGGAGGCAGCAGUGGGGAAUAUUGCACAAUGGGCGGAAGCCUGAUGAAGCGACGCCGCGUGGGGGAUGACGGCCUUCGGGUUGUAAACUCCUUUCACCAUAGACGAAGGGUUUCUGACGGUAGAUGGAGAAGAAGCACCGGCUAACUACGUG
rnacentral:rRNA from 1 species